rnacentral:lncRNA from 1 species
GAUGAACUUGCAACACCAUGUUCACACCGAGCCUUUGACAUCCCAUGUAAGUUUUCCUGUGAAACAUAAAUUACAGCAAGACCAAGAUGGAGAGUUCAAGUUAUCAAAAUAUCCUUCGUGAUGAGCACAUAAAUUUAAUUAUCAAAGCCAGAGAAUAUAGUUUAAAUCAUGAUACGGGGUUGCGCGCGGACCAAGAUCGAGUUGCCAAGUCACGGGAAACUCCUACGAAAACCCUAAACAAUUAGAUCUGAAACGAAAACAGAAAAUUAAAAGAUUAGAUUUUUGAAUUUUCAGAUCUGAAAUAAAAUCCCCAAAACAGUAAAGAAUCAAAUAGAGAAUAGAAAUAAGUGUUAGGGUUCUUGAAACCCUCAAGGAGAUUGUGAUUCUGCCCAAUUGAACACCAAUAUAGUUUUCCCCAAAUUUCGACAAUCUAAUUUCACCCAAAAAGAGUAUAGAAAAACCCUAGAAAUUAGGGAUUUUUGGGCUGAUUCCUUAAGAUAGAAAAAGGCUGAAAACACAAUAAGAACAGAAAAUAGAUUAGAUAAUGAUUCAGCACAAGUAGAAAUAAAGAAAGAAUUGACAGUAAGAAAUUAAAAGAUAAGUCCUAAGAAGCCUUGAAAUCUCGAAAGAUCUCACAACUCCUUUCAAACGGCUCUAAUCUCCCCUCCAAAGAAUAUCAAUGGCAAGAAGAAGGUUGAAGAUGGCUCCCACAAUCAAAAAGAUUGUUAAAACAACUUCUAAAGAAAACUCAAGAGAAAAUCAUUGAAGAACUCAAAGAGAAUUUUCACUCAAAUCAAAUCUGAAAUUUUCAAUGUAAUUGUAAUGUAAUGUAGGGUGGCUGGCCAAGCCAUAUAAAUAGGCCUUUCAAAUGUUUUCCUAAUUUAAUUAGAACACUAAAACUAAAACUAAAAAAAACUCCUAAUUAUUUUAAUAUGGAAAUUCGGCCAAGGGUCUUUUAUUUGGGACUCUUGGACUGAAUAUAAAAAUUUAAACUAAAUAAAAUAAAUAAAUAAAUAAAUAAAAAUAAAACUUUACAACUUGGGCCACUUUGACAAUUUGGCCUGAUUUUCAACUAAGUAUGGGUGGAUUUCUUGAUUGGGCUUGGAAUCUUCUUAUUGGGCCUUGCCCUCAAGAAUUUGGGCUUGUGAUCCAUCUCCUACCGAAAUUGAAUCGUUGAUGCUCGUAAUAGAGAUCCAAUGCGCUUUGGCUGCAAGAUUUGGUGUCUUGGACCAAGAUUCCCAAUAUUUGAAAUCUUGAUUUUCCCUUUCUUUUGUGUACGCAUCUAAGGCCUUACUAACAAACUCCUGGAUGGUCCCAUUUAGUUUGGAACGCAUUUGUCGGGCCUUUGAUCUCGUAUCAUUCCCCCCUUCCUCAAAAAGAUUCGACCUUGAAUCUGAAAAAUCAAAUGGGGACAAGUCAGCCAUAUUAAAAGUAGAACUUACAUUGUACUCACCCGGUAGAUCAAUUUUAUAGGCAUUAUCGUUGAUCCUCUCGAGUACUUGGAAAGGCCCAUCGCCCCUUGGGUCCAACUUGGUCUUUCUUCUUGCAGGAAAUCGUUCUUUCCUCAUAUGGACCCAAACCCAAUCUCCGGGUUCUAGGACAACCCGUUUGCGCCCCUUGUUUGCUUUGUUGGUGUUGGCAUCAUAUGUUUUGGCUAUUCGUUGCCUAGCCUGCUCAUGUAAGGAUUUCACCAACUCAGCUUUCUGUUCACCAUCUAAAUUAACAAUGUGUUCAAGUGGUAAUGGCGCAAGAUCAAGUACUGUUAGUGGGUUAAAACCAUAAACAAGUUCAAAUGGAGAAUAACCAGUUGUAGAAUGAAUAGAUCUAUUAUAUGCAAAUUCAACAAACGGUAGGCAUUCUUCCCAAUUUCUAAUGUUCUUUCCCACAACAGAUCGUAAUAAAGUCCCUAAGAUCCGAUUAACUACUUCGGUUUGGCCAUCAGUUUGGGGGUGACAUGUAGUGGAAUAAAGUAAUUUAGUACCAAACUUACCCCACAAUACCUUCCAAAAGUGGCUAAGAAAUUUGACAUCUCUGUCAGAAACAAUUGUUUUAGGGAUGCCAUGAAGUCUUACUACCUCUUUAAAGAAUAAGUCUGCUACAUGUGUAGCAUCAUCUGUUUUGUGACAAGAAAUAAAAUGUGCCAUCUUUGAGAACCUGUCAACAACAACAAAUAUACUAUCUCUUCCUUUCUUAUUUCGAGGCAAACCUAGAAUAAAGUCCAUGGAUAAAUCUACCCAAGGUGAAGUAGGAAUCGGUAAAGGAGUGUAAAGGCCAUGAGGCAUUACCUUAGAUUUUGCUUGUUUGCAUGUAAUGCACUUGGAACAUACCUUUUCGACAUCUUUUUUCAUAUGUGGCCAAUGGAAGUGUUCUUGCAAGAUAUCCAGUGUUUUGGCCACUCCAAAAUGUCCCAUUAAACCUCCACUAUGGGCCUCAUGAAUCAAUAAGUCUCUCAUGGAACACUUUGGUAUGCAUAACCUGUUCAUACAAAAAAGAAAGCCAUCUACAAGAUAAAAUUUAUCGAAAGCAGUAUGUCCAUAAUUCUUAUAGAUAUGGCCGAAAUUAGCAUCAUCAUCAUAUAGUUCCUUAAUAUGUUCGAACCCUAAGACUUUAGCAUUCAAUGUAGUUAUUAAAGUAUAUCGUCUAGACAAAGCAUCUGCAACUACAUUAUCUUUACCUGUUUUAUAUUGUAUCACAUAAGGGAAUGUUUCAAUGAAUUCUACCCAUCGAACAUGUCUUUUACUCAACUUACCUUGUCCCUUUAACCAUUUAAGAGAUUCGUGAUCUGUGUGUAUGACAAACUCAUUAGGCAGCAAAUAAUGUUGCCAUACUUGAAGUGCAUGAACUAAUGCUAAUAGUUCUUUGUCAUAAGUCGAGUAGUUUAACUGUGCACCAUUCAAUUUCUCACUAAAAUAAGCAAUAGGUUGCUUAUCUUGCAUUAAAACAGCGCCAAUUCCAAUUCCUGAAGCAUCACACUCAAGUUCAAAAGUUUUAGCAAAAUCAGGUAAUUUAAGCAAAGAAGCAGAACAUAACUUAGCUUUUAGAGUUUGAAAGGCCUUUUCUUGGGUUUCACCCCAUUUGAAACCCACUGAUUUCUUUAUAACUUCAGUCAAUGGGGCAGCAAUAGUAGAGAAAUCUUUCACAAAUCGUCUAUAAAAACUGGCUAAACCAUGGAAAGAUCUCACCUCAGUUACCGAUUUAAGAGUCGGCCACUCCUUAAUUGCCUUAACUUUGUCCUCGUCGACAUGAAUACCUUGAGCACUAACUAUGAAACCUAAGAAUAUUAGUUUAUCACAACAGAAUGUGCAUUUAUCAAGGUUGGCAAAUAAUCUUUCAGUUCGUAGAAUAUCCAAAACGGUUCGAACAUGGAAAACAUGAUCAUCUAAUGACUUUGAGUAAAUUAAAAUAUCAUCAAAGUAAACUACUACAAAUUUACCCAAAUGUAGCCUCAAAACAUGAUUCAUUAAUCUCAUAAAUGUACUAGGUGCAUUAGUAAGGCCGAAAGGCAUAACUAACCAUUCAUACAAUCCAAAUUUUGUUUUAAAGGCUGUUUUCCAUUCAUCCCCUUCCCUCAUUCGAAUUUGAUGAUAACCGCUUUUUAAAUCAAUUUUUGUAAAUAUUAUUGAAUCAUGUAAUUCAUCAAGCAUAUCAUCAAGUCUAGGGAUUGGGUGUCGAUACUUUACCGUUAUCUUGCUGAUUGGGCGACAAUCAACACACAUACGAAACGUACCAUCUUUCUUUGGCACCAAUAAGACAGGAACAGCACAAGGACUUAGGCUCUCACGAAUGUACCCUUUGUCUAGUAAUUCCUCCACUUGCCUUUGCAAUUCCUUUGUCUCCUCGGGAUUGCAUCUAUAGGCUGGUCGAUUUGGGAUUGAAGCUCCGGGUACUAAGUCAAUUUGAUGUUCUAUCCCUCGUAAAGGUGGUAAACCUUUAGGGGCCUCACUAAAAACAUCCUCAUAAUCCUGCAAAAGAGAUUGAAACACACUAGGCAAAUUUUCGUUAAUGUUAGAUAAAGAUAAAUAAUUUUGCCUAAACCUCACAAGGAUACAAGGCUGUUUAUUAAGUAGGGCUCUCUUCACAUCUUUUUUUGUUGCCAAAAGAUUUUUUCCGCUCAUUUUACCACUAGAGGAUUCACUCACCUUUGGGCUUUUUAAAUUUUAACUUUUUCCACUACUAUUAGCCUCUUUUCUCUCUGUCUUUUGUACUUGCUCUUUCUCCCUUACCCCCUCACAAAAUUUUAUCAUCCUCAAUUGAUCUUUAUAUACAUCAGUAGGAUUUAAAGGAGCAAAAGUGAAUUUCUUGCCUUUAAAUACAAGGGAGUAUCGAUUAAGUUUACCUUGGUGUGUAACAUCGCGAUCAAAUUGCCAAGGUCGUCCAAGGAGCAAGUGUGCCGCAUGCAUGGGGACUACAUCACACCAUAUGUCAUCCUCAUAAUUGCCGAGUUUAAAAGUGACCAAGGACUGUUUCGUAACUUUAACUUCGGAACAUUCAUUAAGCCACUGAAGGUGAUAUGGCUUAGGGUGUUUGGUACAAGGCAACUUUAAAGAAUCCACCAAAUAACUACUCACUACAUUCGAGCAACUCCCACUAUCAAUAAUGAGUGAACAUAAGUUACCUUUAAUAAAACACCGAGAAUGGAAAAUAUUGGUCCUUUGGCUCUCAUCAUCUUUCAUCUGAAUGUUAAGGGUUCGACGAACUACAAGGCAUUGAAAAUUAGCAAAGUCCCCUUCCUUUGGUGGUUCGACCAACUCGUCGCCAUUAUCACUGUCAUCCACAAGUUCUGGCAUAUCUGGAUCUGUAUUAUCAGAGUCGGAAGUGUACUCACCGUUAUCUUUUAGAAGAAGUAAUCUCGUGUUAGGGCAUUCUCUACUGUAAUGACCACGCCCUUUGCACUUAAAGCAUUCAAUCUCACGAGUCCUCUUCGCACUCGAAUCACCUAAAUUGGGCUGCUUAGACGGUGUUUGCGUUUUUGCAGGAGCCCCUUUUUUCCAAUCUGAUUGUUUACUUCCAUUACUCAAAGAAGACUUGUUAGUAACAAAAGGUGGUUUUGAACUCUUAAAAUCAGAAUUGAAAUUGUUACCUCGAUAAUAUUGUUGCUCGAUCUCAAUGGCUUUGUGAACUGCUUCUUCCAAAUCAAUAUAAGUUUGUAGCCUCAAUGUAUUAGCUAUCGGCCUGUUCAAACCAUCAAUGAAUCGAACCAUAGUUGUUUCUUCAUCCUCCUCCAUGUUAGCUCUCUGAAUGAGCAUCUCCAUCUCUUUAAAAUAUUCAUCCACCGUCCUACUACCUUGGAUAAGUCUUCUCAGCUUUGUUUUAAUUUCUCUAUAGUAGUGAGGUGGAAUAAACCUUUUACGCAUAAUCUAUUUCAACUCAUCCCAUGUCGAAAUCUCACCUUCAUAAUUCCGAUGGCGGUUUACCCCAAGUUGAGUCCACCAACUUAAUGCAUAAUCAGAAAAUUCCAGUGUUGCUAACGCUACCUUUUCAUCAUCCGGACAUUUAUAAUACCGAAACAUAAGUUCAAUCUUAGAUUCCCAUUCACAAUAAGCGUCAGGAUCAUUCUUACCACGAAAUUAGGGAAUUGUGAUACGGGGUUGCGCGCGGACCAAGAUCGAGUUGCCAAGUCACGGGAAACUCCUACGAAAACCCUAAACAAUUAGAUCUGAAACGAAAACAGAAAAUUAAAAGAUUAGAUUUUUGAAUUUUCAGAUCUGAAAUAAAAUCCCCAAAACAGUAAAGAAUCAAAUAGAGAAUAGAAAUAAGUGUUAGGAUUCUUGAAACCCUUAAGGAGAUUGUGAUUCUGCCCAAUUGAACACCAAGAUAGUUUUCCCCAAAUUUCGACAAUCUAAUUUCACCUAAAAAGAGUAUAGAAAAACCCUAGAAAUUAGGGAUUUUUGGGCUGAUUCCUUAAGAUAGAAAAAGGCUGAAAACACAAUAAGAACAGAAAAUAGAUUAGAUAAUGAUUCAGCACAAGUAGAAAUAAAGAAAGAAUUGACAGUAAGAAAUUAAAAGAUAAGUCCUAAGAAGCCUUGAAAUCUCGAAAGAUCUCACAACUCCCUUCAAACGGCUCUAAUCUCCCCUCCAAAGAAUAUCAAUGGCAAGAAGAAGGUUGAAGAUGGCUCCCACAAUCAAAAAGAUUGUUAAAACAACUUCUAAAGAAAACUCAAGAGAAAAUCCUUGAAGAACUCAAAGAGAAUUUUCACUCAAAUCAAAUCUGAAAUUUUCAAUGUAAUUGUAAUGUAAUGUAGGGUGGCUGGCCAAGCCAUAUAAAUAGGCCUUUCAAAUGUUUUCCUAAUUUAAUUAGAACACUAAAACUAAAACUAAAAAAAACUCCUAAUUAUUUUAAUAUGGAAAUUCGGCCAAGGGUCUUUUAUUUGGGACUCUUGGACUGAAUAUAAAAAUUUAAACUAAAUAAAAUAAAUAAAUAAAUAAAUAAAAAUAAAACUUUACAACUUGGGCCACUUUGACAAUUUGGCCUGAUUUUCAACUAAGUAUGGGUGGAUUUCUUGAUUGGGCUUGGAAUCUUCUUAUUGGGCCUUGCCCUCAAGAAUUUGGGCUUGUGAUCCAUCUCCUACCGAAAUUGAAUCGUUGAUGCUCGUAAUGGAGAUCCAAUGCGCUUUGGCUGCAAGAUUUGGUGUCUUGGACCAAGAUUCCCAGUAUUUGAAAUCUUGAUUUUCCCUUUCUUUUGUGUACGCAUCUAAGGCCUUACUAACAAACUCCUGGAUGGUCCCAUUUAGUUUGGAACGCAUUUUUCGGGCCUUUGAUCUCGUAUCAAAUCAUUUUGAAGAAGAUUACAAGCAUAAAUGAUGUAUAGAAGAAAAAGGAAGAUUAUGUGUUGGUGAGGAAUGAUGAUUGUAAUAGUUGUUUGCAAGGCACCGACAGAUGAAGACCUUGUGAGAGAUUGUAAUUUGCCACAGUUUCUCUCUUUUGACUUUUUGAUUCUUCGAUUUCUCUAGUCUAUAUCUGUUUUCCAACUAUACUUAUCAUAAAAAGUGCUGGUUUUGAAUUUGUUCCAGG